rnacentral:rRNA from 6 species
AAACGACUCUCGGCAACGGAUAUCUCGGCUCUCGCAUCGAUGAAGAACGUAGCGAAAUGCGAUACUUGGUGUGAAUUGCAGAAUCCCGUGAACCAUCGAGUCUUUGAACGCAAGUUGCGCCCUAAGCCUUUUGGCCGAGGGCACGUCUGCCUGGGUGUCAC